rnacentral:rRNA from 1 species
GAUGAACGCUGGCGGCAUGCCUAAUACAUGCAAGUCGAGCGAAGCGGGGACGGGUGAGUAACACGUGGAUAACCUCCUAUAAGACUGGGAUAACUUCGGGAAACCGGAGCUAAACCGGAUACUUAGAGAUGGAUCCGCGCUGCAUUAGCUAGUUGGUAAGGUAACGGCUUCCCAAGGCAACGAUGCAUAGCCGACCUGAGUGGGUGAUCGGUCAGACGGGAACUGUGACACGGUCCAGACUCCUAGGGGAGGCAGCAGUAGGGAAUCUUCCGAAAUGGGCGAAAGCCUGACGGAGCAACGUCGCGUGAGUUAUGAAGGUCGUCGGAUCGUAAAACUCUGUUAUUAGGGAAGCGGUACCUAAUCAGAAAGCCACGGCGAACUACGUGCCAGCAGCCGCGGUAAUAC